rnacentral:lncRNA from 1 species
CACACCAUGAGCACCAGCCAAUCUUCCUGAAAUUAUGUUACCAGAAAACGUACGUGGUGGAGAAUUUCCUUGGACUGGAUGUUUCUUGCUCACUUGAAUUUUAAGAGAAACUUUCCCAAGGGGUCCAGACAAGUGCUGUUUUGCUCUAAGUCUCUGUAUGCAGCAACAUUGGUUGUUUUCAUCAUACCUAUACCUGGUAAGCGG